GGACUACAGGGGUAUCUAAUCCUGUUUGAUCCCCACGCUUUCGUGCAUGAGCGUCUGUAUCAAUUUCGUUACCUGUCUUCACGAUCGGCGUUCUGUGACAUAUCUAUGCAUUUCACCGCUACACAUCACAUUCCAGCAACGUCAAUUGAACUCUAGUCCGGCAGUAUCAAAGGCAGUUUUGCAGUUAAGCCGCAAAAUUUCACCCCUGACUUACCGAUCCGCCUGCGCACCCUUUAAACCCAAUAAAUCCGGAUAACGCUUGCAUCCUCCGUAUUACCGCGGCGGCUGGCAC
rnacentral:rRNA from 1 species